UAGGGAAUCUUCCGCAAUGGGCGAAAGCCUGACGGAGCAACGCCGCGUGAGUGAUGAAGGUCUUCGGAUCGUAAAACUCUGUUAUUAGGGAAGAACAAAUGUGUAAGUAACUAUGCACGUCUUGACGGUACCUAAUCAGAAAGCCACGGCUAACUACGUGCCAGCAGCCGCGGUAAUACGUAGGUGGCAAGCGUUAUCCGGAAUUAUUGGGCGUAAAGCGCGCGUAGGCGGUUUCUUAAGUCUGAUGUGAAAGCCCACGGCUCAACCGUGGAGGGUCAUUGGAAACUGGGAAACUUGAGUGCAGAAGAGGAAAGUGGAAUUCCAUGUGUAGCGGUGAAAUGCGCAGAGAUAUGGAGGAACACCAGUGGCGAAGGCGACUUUCUGGUCUGUAACUGACGCUGAUGUGCGAAAGCGUGGGGAUCAAACAGG
rnacentral:rRNA from 1 species